AUUGAACGCUGGCGGCAGGCCUAACACAUGCAAGUCGAGCGAGCGGCGGACGGGUGAGUAAUUUCUGGGAAACUGCCUUAUGGAGGGGGCUAACUUCUGGAAACGGUAGCUAAUACCGCAUACCAUCAGAUGUGCCCAGAUGGGAUUAGCUAGUAGGUGGGGUAACGGCUCACCUAGGCGACGAUCCCUAGCUGGUCUGAGAGGAUGACCAGCCACACGUGAACGGAGACACGGUCCAGACUCAGACGGGAGGCAGCAGGGGGGAAUAUUGCACAAGGGGCGCAAGCCUGAUGCAGCCAAGCCGCGUGUGUGAAGAAGGCCUUCGGGUUGUAAAGCACUUUCAGCGUGGAGGCGUUACCCGCAGAAGAAGCACCGGCUAACUCCGUGCCAGCAGCCGCGGUAAUAC
rnacentral:rRNA from 1 species